UACGUAGGGUGCGAGCGUUAAUCGGAAUUACUGGGCGUAAAGGGUGCGCAGGCGGUUGAUUAAGUCAGAUGUGAAAUCCCCGGGCUUAACCUGGGAAUGGCAUUUGAGACUGGUUGGCUAGAGUGUGUCAGAGGGGGGUAGAAUUCCACGUGUAGCAGUGAAAUGCGUAGAGAUGUGGAGGAAUACCGAUGGCGAAGGCAGCCCCCUGGGAUAACACUGACGCUCAGGCACGAAAGCGUGGGGAGCAAACAGG
rnacentral:rRNA from 1 species